UACGUAGGGUGCGAGCGUUAAUCGGAAUUACUGGGCGUAAAGCGUGCGCAGGCGGUUUUGCAAGUCAGAUGUGAAAUCCCCGGGCUCAACCUGGGGACUGCGUUUGAAACUGCAAGGCUAGAGUAUGGCAGAGGGGGGUAGAAUUCCACGUGUAGCAGUGAAAUGCGUAGAGAUGUGGAGGAAUACCGAUGGCGAAGGCCGCCCCCUGGGUCAAUACUGACGCUCAUGCACGAAAGCGUGGGGAGCAAACAGGAUUAGAUACCCUGGUAGUCCACGCCCUAAACGAUGUCAACUAGUUGUUGGUGGAGUAAAAUCCAUUAGUAACGCAGCUAACGCGUGAAGUUGACCGCCUGGGGAGUACGGUCGCAAGAUUAAA
rnacentral:rRNA from 1 species